rnacentral:rRNA from 1 species
AGCCUAUGCCGGAUUAGCUGGUUGGUGAGGUAAUGGCUCACCAAGGCGACGAUCCGUAGCUGGUCUGAGAGGAUGAUCAGCCACAUCGGGACUGAGACACGGCCCGAACUCCUACGGGAGGCAGCAGUGGGGAAUAUUGGACAAUGGGGGCAACCCUGAUCCAGCCAUGCCGCGUGUGUGAAGAAGGCCCUCGGGUUGUAAAGCACUUUCAGCGAGGAAGAACGCCUUCCGGUUAAUACCCGGGAGGAAAGACAUCACUCGCAGAAGAAGCACCGGCUAACUCCGUGCCAGCAGCCGCGGUAAUACGGAGGGUGCAAGCGUUAAGCGGAAUUACUGGGCGUAAAGCGCGCGUAGGCGGCGUGAUAAGCCGGUUGUGAAAGCCCCGGGCUCAACCUGGGAACGGCAUCCGGAACUGUCAGGCUAGAGUGCAGGAGAGGAAGGUAGAAUUCCCGGUGUAGCGGUGAAAUGCGUAGAGAUCGGGAGGAAUACCAGUGGCGAAGGCGGCCUUCUGGACUGACACUGACGCUGAGGUGCGAAAGCGUGGGUAGCAAACAGGAUUAGAUACCCUGGUAGUCCACGCCGUAAACGAUGUCGACCAGCCGUUGGGUGCCUUGAGCACUUUGUGGCGAAGUUAACGCGAUAAGUCGACCGCCUGGGGAGUCGGCCGCAAGGUUAAAAC